ensembl:misc_RNA
UCAGCAGCUCUAGAAUCUGCAAUCCUUUAUUUAUCUGGUUAGUAAGAAUAGUACAGACAGCAGCAGUUGGUUCUCCCCAACACUGUCUCCCAUGAGCCUAACCUAGUCCCGAACUCUUGCGAUGGGCAGGAAUGUGGCUUUGGCCUCUAGGACAUUGAGGUGGG